GGUUCCAUAGUGUAGUGGUUGCACGUCUGCUUUACACGCAGAAGGUCCUGGGUCCA
rnacentral:tRNA from 1 species